ACAGCUCAAAUUUGAAAUCUGGCCCUCGGGUCCGAGUUGUAAUUUGUAGAGGAUGCCUUUGGCGCGGUGCCUUCCGAGUUCCCUGGAACGGGACGCCUUAGAGGGUGAGAGCCCCGUACGGUUGGACACCAAGCCUCUGUAAGGCCCCUUCGACGAGUCGAGUAGUUUGGGAAUGCUGCUCUAAAUGGGAGGUAAAUUUCUUCUAAAGCUAAAUACUGGCCAGAGACCGAUAGCGCACAAGUAGAGUGAUCGAAAGAUGAAAAGCACUUUGAAAAGAGGGUUAAAUAGCACGUGAAAUUGUUGAAAGGGAAGCGUUUGCGACCAGACCUCUCCCCGGCGGAUCACCUGGUGUUCUUCACCGGGGCACUUCGCCGGGGCAGAGGCCAGCAUCGGUUUCCGCAGGGGGAUAAAAGCUCAGGGAACGUAGCUCCUUCGGGAGUGUUAUAGCCCUCCGCACAAUACCCCUGCGGGGACCGAGGACCGCGCCCCCGGGCAAGGAUGCUGGCGUAAUGGUCGCCAACGACCCGUCUUGAAACACGGACCAAGGAGUCGAACAUUUGUGCGAGUGUUUGGGUGUUAAACCCUCACGCGUAAUGAAAGUGAACGGAGGUGAGAGCCCCUAGGGGCGCAUCAUCGACCGAUCCUGAUGUCUUCGGAUGGAUUUGAGUAAGAGCACAACUGUUCGGACCCGAAAGAUGGUGAACUAUGCGUGGAUAGGGUGAAGCCAGAGGAAACUCUGGUGGAGGCUCGCAGCGGUUCUGACGUGCAAAUCGAUC
rnacentral:rRNA from 1 species